ACUCCCGUAGCUCAGUGGACAGAGCACACGGCUACGAACCGUGGUGUCAGGAGUUCGAAUCUCUUCGGGAGUG
rnacentral:tRNA from 3 species